rnacentral:rRNA from 1 species
AGAGUUUGAUCCUGGCUUAGGAUGAACGCUGGCGGCGUGCCUAACACAUGCAAGUCGAGCGAUUCUCUUCGGAGAAGAGCGGCGGACGGGUGAGUAACGCGUGGGUAACCUGCCUCAUACACAUGGAUAACAUACCGAAAGGUAUGCUAAUACAGGAUAAUAUAAGAGAUUCACAUGGAUUUCUUAUCAAAGCUCCGGCGGUAUGAGAUGGACCCGCGUCUGAUUAGCUAGUUGGUAAGGUAACGGCUUACCAAGGCGACGAUCAGUAGCCGACCUGAGAGGGUGAUCGGCCACAUUGGAACUGAGACACGGUCCAAACUCCUACGGGAGGCAGCAGUGGGGAAUAUUGCACAAUGGGCGAAAGCCUGAUGCAAGCAACGCCGCGUGAGUGAUGAAGGCCUUCGGGUCGUAAAACUCUGUCCUCAAGGAAGAUAAUGACGGUACUUGAGGAGGAAGCCCCGGCUAACUACGUGCCAGCAGCAGC